CUGGGGCAUACACCUCCCGUAGCUUUACUCUAAAACCACUAGGUUUUCAGUCUCUUCAGUAGGAUCUAUUAUAAGAAGACUGGCCCAUGGGUAUGAAGGUGAAGUGCAUGGCAAUGGAUAGAGGAACCAUCCUUGCUGUGUUUGCCUGGCAGGCUCCCAUCUCAUAUGGGGUCAGAGUCACUGGCUUAAUAUAUUACCCAUGCUGGCCCAAUCACAUUGCGAUGGGAGAUGUCUGGGGUAUACACAACCCAUCUCAGGGUGGUUUUUGGUUGGCUUGGCAAGGGGGACACCAGACCUUUCCUUUCAUAUUCCUUUGACCUUUUUGUCUCGAAAAUAUCUGUUCAGUUUUCCAAAAUAAAAUGUACAAGCACACACCUCCUUUCUUUAUGAUUCCCAGGCUUUAUUUUAUCUGUCCAUGUUAAUAAAACAUAUUUCAAAGAGUAACAUGGAACUGUUGUGGAAAAUCUACAACUGAAACUGGGAACUCUGAAUAAUCAUCCAACUUGGAAAUCUAAGUCAGAAACUCAGGCAAUAUGCCAGAGAUUCGCCUUCAUGACCUUAAGAUUCUUGAUGCCGAAAUGUAACACUGUUCUUUCCAUGCCUCAUUCUGAAUAAGUAAGAACUGGGAAAAGAACAAUGUCAGUAAUCUUCAGGUUGGAAAGUUGAGAUGUUGCCCGAGUUGGAUGAUCUUUCUGAUCCAUCACCCCCAACCCCAUUUUUCAGUUCCCAAAAGUACUAAUGUCAUAGUUC